rnacentral:misc_RNA from 1 species
UAUUUGGAUUAUUCACCUUAAAGGUAAGUCUCAAAUUUCUCUAGAUUUUUAGAAAUUUUCAUGCUUCAGCAAUGCCUUUAAUUUAGUGCAUCUAGUGGUUUGUAGAAUUUGCAGCUUUUUGUUGACAGGUAGUAUACUUCGCAUUAUUGUGGAAUUUAUGAUCGUUAAUUGGAAGAUAUCGUAUUAUCUAAAAGGGAAAUUAUGACAAUCAUCUUAAUUGAGGAGUUUUGCGUGGAGAAGGUGAAGAGAAAGAUUAAAAAGUAAUAAUUAAUAAAAUAAAAUUCUUAUUACACCCAAAAGGGAAAUAAGAAAAUUAACAUCAUACUUCAACAUCAUAUGAAACAAAUAUGACAGUAAUGAAUGUAUAAAUAGUGUUACACUUUUCUUUGAUUCAGCUCUAAUGAUGUCAUAUGCUGAGUAUUUUACUUAAAAUUUCAAUACAAGUUUCAUUCAUCUUUUACCAUGCUCCUUGUGAAAAUCUAUGUAUAUAAGAUCCUUUUUAUCGUCAACAUUUUGAUGUAGUGGUAAAACGCUUCAAACACUGUGUAUUUUAGUGAUUUUGUCCAAACCUUUUAUUUUUGACAUAUUUAUCUUGACCUUGGAGCUUAGUUGCUAUUCUGCAUAUGGUAAACGUUGGUCAAAAUUAAAAUAAAAAAUGUUACCGCUUUUGGACAUUUGGGCACAAUUGCAACUAUGUUUUGUGAUAAAAGAAAAUUUCCAAAAAUACAUAAAAACCCUUGUUUGGAUCCUUAAUUGUGCAGGAGAAUUGCAAAGAAAUUAAAUAAGAGAAAUGAAGAGAAAAGAACAGAAAGAAAAUUUAAUUUACUUUGUCUUGUUUAGAUAGAUUAGUAGAAUAGAGAAAAAAAAAUGCAAUUUCUCUCUUACAAGAAAAGAGGAGAAUAACUAUUAUACUUUUUUUUUAAUCUUAUGUCUAGUAUAUUGUAGAAAGGCAUUUAUGUAUUUUAUUAUAAAUUAUACCAUUUUCUCUCCAUUUCCCACCAAUUUGGAGAGAAAUAUUUUUUUUAUUAAAAUUUCUCUUCAUUUCUCCUCCUUUCUCUUCCUUUCUCUUCAACUCUCUCUUCAAUUUGAUGUCCAAACAAAAAAAUUUAAAGAAAUGAAUUCUUUUCUCUUCUCUCAAUUUCUCUCAAUCCAAACAAAGGCUAAAGUAUUCAAAAAUUAACUAAGUCGCGCAUGGUGUUCCUAUUCCCGUACCGUGACCCACUGCAUAUCACAUUCCAGGUAACUCAGCCUACUGAUCUGGGGCCUUUUUCUUUUCUACUUCUCUUCCUUUUUGCUCUUUGUAAGAAGCUUGAUACAUAUAUGCAUGCAACUAAACAAGCAUGUGUAAAGAGCUAAAGCAAAGCAUGGCUGUCUGUUUCCCUAAAUUGUAAGGAAUUGGAAGACCACUAAAGACUAAAUAAGCAAUGAAUUGUUAAAGGCACACCUCGGACGAGGUGCAAGGUGUACCAAGUAGGCACCAUGUAUCAUCCAAUCUGUUCCCCCAUUUCUCUUUUCCAAUUAUGCUUGAAAUCAAGUUGUUCAGAGAAGAAACGCAGUUUUCUUUUUAUUUUUUCUCUUUUUUUUUUUUUUUUUUUU